rnacentral:tRNA from 1 species
GGGGUUGUGGCUCAGUAGUAGAGCACUUGCCUGGCAUGCAUGAGGCAUUAUGUUUGAGCCUCAGCACCA